CCUACGGGAGGCAGCAGUGAGGAAUAUUGGUCAAUGGCCGCAGGGCUGAACCAGCCAAGUCGCGUGAGGGAUGACGGUCCUAUGGAUUGUAAACCUCUUUUGUCAGGGAGCAAAGGGCGCCACGUGUGGCGCUUUGCGAGUACCUGAAGAAAAAGCAUCGGCUAACUCCGUGCCAGCAGCCGCGGUAAUACGGAGGAUGCGAGCGUUAUCCGGAUUUAUUGGGUUUAAAGGGUGCGCAGGCGGAAUGUCAAGUCAGCGGUAAAAUUUCGGGGCUCAACCCCGUCGUGCCGUUGAAACUGGCGUUCUUGAGUGAGCGAGAAGUAUGCGGAAUGCGUGGUGUAGCGGUGAAAUGCAUAGAUAUCACGCAGAACUCCGAUUGCGAAGGCAGCAUACCGGCGCUCAACUGACGCUCAUGCACGAAAGCGUGGGUAUCGAACAGGAUUAGAUACCACAGUAGUC
rnacentral:rRNA from 1 species